rnacentral:rRNA from 1 species
GUCGAGAAUCUUUGGCAAUGGGCGAAAGCCUGACCAUGCGACGCCGCGUGCGGGAUGAAGGCCUUCGGGUCGUAAACCGCUGUUACGAGGGACGAAGAUUUUGCCUGCGAACAGUUGGCAAAAUUUGACGGUACCUCGAGAGAAAGCCACGGCCAACUCCGUGCCAGCAGCCGCGGUAAUACGGAGGUGGCGAGCGUUGUUCGGAUUUACUGGGUGUAAAGGGCACGUAGGCGGUUCUGCAAGCCUUGCCUGAAAGGCACUGGCUCAACCAGGGCACUGGGUAGGGAACUGCAGGACUUGAGGGCUGGAGAGGUGAACGGAAUUCCCGGUGUAAGGGUGAAAUCUGUAGAUAUCGGGAGGAACACCAGUGGCGUAGGCGGUUCACUGGCCAGCUUCUGACGCUGAGGUGCGAAAGCUAGGGGAGCGAACAGG